rfam:Nicotiana sylvestris Nsyl_contig91637, whole genome shotgun sequence.
AAAUGAAGGUAGCAUGGUUAUGUGCACAAAAAUUGAAACAUAUAGAGUCGACAUGUCUGCUCCCUCUGAUUUUCCAUGAUUAGGGGGCCUGGUUUAAACUCACAUCC